rnacentral:rRNA from 1 species
UCUGGUCCUUUUGUGCCCGCCGCCGCGGUAAUACGGAAGGUCCGGGCGUUAUCCGGAUUUCUUGGGUUUAAAGGGAGCGUAGGCGGAUUGUUAAGUCAGUUGUGAAAGUUUGCGGCUCAACCGUAAAAUUGCAGUUGAUACUGGCAGUCUUGAGUGCAGUAGAGGUGGGCGGAAUUCGUGGUGUAGCGGUGAAAUGCUUAGAUAUCACGAAGAACUCCGAUUGCGAAGGCAGCUCACUGGAGUGUAACUGACGCUGAUGCUCGAAAGUGUGGGUAUCAAACAGG